UUUGGUUGUUAUAGCAACGUGGAAACACCUGUUCCCAUCCCGAACACAGUAGUUAAGCACGUUUACGCCAAUGGUACUGCACUGGUAACGGUGUGGGAGAGUAGGUCGCAGCCAAUU
rnacentral:rRNA from 1 species